rfam:Microvirga lotononidis strain WSM3557 genomic scaffold Micloscaffold_13, whole genome shotgun sequence.
GGGUGUGUAGCUCAGUUGGUAGAGCAGCUGACUCUUAAUCAGCGGGUCCAAGGUUCGAAUCCUUGCACACCCA